rnacentral:rRNA from 1 species
UACGGAGGGUGCAAGCGUUAUCCGGAUUCACUGGGUUUAAAGGGUGCGUAGGUGGGCAGGUAAGUCAGUGGUGAAAUCUCCGGGCUUAACUCGGAAACUGCCAUUGAUACUAUCUGUCUUGAAUACCGUGGAGGUCAGCGGAAUAUGUCAUGUAGCGGUGAAAUGCUUAGAUAUGACAUAGAACACCAAUUGCGAAAGGCAGCUGGCUACACGAAUAUUGACACUUGAUGCACGAAAGCGUGGGGAUCAAACAGG